rnacentral:lncRNA from 1 species
UUGGAGAGUUGGAUAAAGAAGAAGAUAGUGAAUGUGAAAAGUCAACUAUAGUUAAGUCGAAGAGACCUGGAAGAAUAAAAGCUUCAAAUGUAAUGGUUACUGAGCAGCAAGAAACUGGUACAGGUGGUGGUGUGGAGGAUGGUAAGAUGGUAGACCAGGAAGAGCUGCUACAUGUGAGGGAUGAAACAGAUGACGGCAUUUCAACAACUAGAUUUAAGGAGGGGGUUGAGGAUGGCAAUGCGGCAUUGCCGUUAGAUAACGAAGACAACGCUCAGUUAGAGACUUGUGUAGAGCCAGAAGAAUGCCACGCGACUGACCAGGUGAGUAUGCUGGAACAGGAUUUGCAAAGAAGAAAUGAAGUGAGUGUUGGGGUGAUUGACCAAAAGGAUGGUGUGGAAGGUGGUUUACUUCCUAAUGAUGAAAAAGAUGGAGGCACAGAGAAGCAAGCUGAAGAUGAAGUUGACAGAAUUGAUUAUGCCCAGGAAAAAGAUGGAGGCACAGAGGAACAAGCUGAAGAUGAAGUUGACAGAGUUGAUUAUGCCCAGGAAAAAGAUGAAGGUGUUUUUAGUGAUAAAGCUCUGGAAAUGGAGAAGGUGGUCAAGAAAGAAUGUGCUUCUGAUAGUACUUUGAGAAAGCGGCGAAUAAGAGAGGGAAGAC